CUCUUUUAUUAAUCAUUUUUAUUUUAGGCUUCGAGAACGAGCUGUUCGUCUUUGUUUCCUAUGAAUUUCGUGUGCUACUCCACUUCCUGAUAGAAUUGAUUUCUGAAGUCGUGUGGAGUGGGGCGAUCGAUUGAUUUCUGGUUCAAGCUCAUUGAUGUUUUGCUGAUUCUAGUCAGAAGAGAUGAUACAUAAUUGCAAAUAUCUCCAAGAUCAGGAGAGGCUGGCGAGAUUUCGGCUAUGGACUUCUUCGUGAGUACAGUGGGUCCAUUGAAAGAACCUCCUCUCGUUACUGCCAAUACUGUUCUGUAUCAAGGUAUGUAACAAAGUCUCUUCUCGAGGCAAAU